CCUACGGGCGGCAGCAGUGGGGGAUAUUGCACAAUGGGCGAAACCCUGAUGCAGCGACGCCGCGUGUGGGAAGACGGUCUUCUGGAUUGUAAACCACUGUCCCCAGGGACGAAAAUGACGGUACCUGGGGGGGAAGCUCCGGCAAACUACGUGCCAGCAGCCGCGGUAAAACGUAGGGAGCAAGCGUUGUCCGGAAUUACUGGGGGUAAAGGGAGCGUAGGCGGGGAUGCAAGUCGGGUGUGAAAGCUACCGGCUCAACCGAUGGUGGCAUUCAAAACUGCAGCUCUUGAGUGAAGUAGAGGCAAGCGGAAUUCCUAGUGUAGCGGUGAAAUGCGUAGAUAUUAGGAGGAACACCAGUUGCGAAGGCGGCCUGCUGGACUUUUACUGACGCUGAGGCUCGAAAGUGUGGGGAGCAAACAGGAUUAGAUACCCUAGUAGUC
rnacentral:rRNA from 1 species